GAGGUCGUGCUUCUGCGCGGUACUCUCACACCGUGUUGUUUAACCUGUUUCUUCGGCGGGACGCCGGUCUUCGGGCCGCCGUCGGCGCAAGCGGGCGAGGGCCCGCCGAAGGUUUUCAAACUCGAAUCUUUUUUGAAGUCUGAGAAAAAACACAAAAAUUUGAAAAAAACUUUCAACAACGGAUCUCUUGGUUCUGGCAUCGAUGAAGAACGCAGCGAAAUGCGAUAAGUAAUGUGAAUUGCAGAAUUUAGUGAAUCAUCGAAUCUUUGAACGCACAUUGCGCCCCUUGGUAUUCCUCGGGGCACGCCUGUUCGAGCGCCGUUUCAAACCUAAGGCUCAGCCUUGCGUUGGCGCCAGUCCGCUCGCGGACUCGCUGAAACACCUCGGGCGCCUUUCCGAUUCCCGCAGCGUAGCAAGUCAUUCGCUGGAGGGGAGGUCGAGCGAAGGCUGCCGGUCGUCCAAACGAGUUUUGGCCUCGAAUCAGGCGGGGAUACCCGCUGAACUUAAGCAUAUCAAUAA
rnacentral:misc_RNA from 1 species